AGGGAGCAAUGCCAGUUGAUGACCAAGUUCUCGAGAAGCUAGAAAUGUCGUAUGAUAGAGACCAUCCAACGGUAGAGAGACAAUCAAUCUUUCCAACAAUGAAAGAUUGUAGGAGCCUAGGAGAGCUGUGAAGUAGUGGGCAAUGCAUGAAGAAUUUCCCAUUACUUUUCAACCCCUCUACAACCUUUCAUUGUUGGAAAGAUGUAUUUUCUCUCUACUGUUGGAUGGUCCCUAUCAUAUGAAAUUCUGGCUCCUCGGAAUUUGGUCAUCAACUGGCAUUGCUUCCU